rnacentral:tRNA from 35 species
GGGCGAUUAGCUCAGUGGGAGAGCGCUACCUUGACACGGUAGAGGCCACUGGUUCAAUCCCAGUAUCGCCCACCA